rnacentral:rRNA from 1 species
UACGUAGGGGGCAAGCGUUAUCCGGAUUUACUGGGUGUAAAGGGAGCGCAGACGGAACUGCAAGUCUGAUGUGAAAGCCCGGGGCUCAACCGCGGGACUGCAUCGGAUACUGUAGAUCUGGAGUGCCGGAGGGGCAAGCGGAAUUCCUGGUGUAGCGGUGAAAUGCGUAGAUAUCAGGAGGAACACCGGCGGCGAAGGCGGCUUGCUGGACGGCAACUGACGUUGAGGCUCGAAAGCGUGGGGAGCAAACAGGAUUAGAAACCCGCGUAGUCC